UGCGCAGGCGGGCUAUUAAGUCAGUGGUGAAAUCUCUCGGCUCAACCGAGAAACUGCCAUUGAAACUGAUAGUCUUGAGUAUGGUUGUGGUAGGCGGAAUAUAGCAUGUAGCGGUGAAAUGCUUAGAUAUGCUAUAGAACACCGAUCGCGAAGGCAGCUUAACAAGCCAUUACUGACGCUCAUGCACGAAAGCGUGGGGAGCAAACAGGAUUAGAUACCCUGGUAGUCC
rnacentral:rRNA from 1 species